AGAUAUCAUACCUUUGGUAUCAAUAAUCAGAUCGGUCGAAAAUUGAAGUAAGAUGAAGGAAGAUCGGAUGCAAACCGAGGUGAGCAUUCCACUUAGUAGUAGUUUUGGACUAAGCAAUUAGCAGAUAACACUGGAGAGAUAGAUCGGUCCUGAGUCGAUGUGAGCUGAAAAGACUUUUAUCUUAGAUAACCUGCUGCCACGUGUUCAAGUGAUGCUG
rnacentral:lncRNA from 1 species